ACGGACGCCUGGGAAGGCCAAGAUAGCGCCGGAAGAGAAGGCACUAUCUCCCGACUCAAGCGGCCCAGCACGGUUCCCGGCACCCACGCGGAGCACGCCGCGAUAAUGGCAGAAGUGUUGCGGGCCUGCGUAAUUGCGAAAAGCGAACGGAAAUAACGUCCCCUUGGGUGGGGAUGUCAACGACGCGCAUCGCAAAAGCGCCGAGGCCAACCCACGCAGCCCACCUGGCACGCUUGGUAACCAGGAAACCGUGCUAGCGGGCGGCGAGCUGAAGAGAUUCGGAUCGUCGCCCGCUUCGCCGU
rnacentral:ncRNA from 5 species